AUUGAACGCUGGCGGCAGGCCUAACACAUGCAAGUCGAACGGCAGCACAGAAGAGCUUGCUCUUUGGGUGGCGAGUGGCGGACGGGUGAGUAAUGUCUGGGAAACUGCCCGAUGGAGGGGGAUAACUACUGGAAACGGUAGCUAAUACCGCAUAACGUCGCGAGACCAAAGUGGGGGACCUUCGGGCCUCACACCCUCGGAUGUGCCCAGAUGGGAUUAGCUAGUAGGUGGGGGAAUGGCUCACCUCGGCGACGAUCCCUAGCUGGUCUGAGAGGGUGACCAGCCACCCUGGAACUGAGACACGGUCCAGACUCCUACGGGAGGCAGCAGUGGGGAAUAUUGCACAAUGGGCGCAAGCCUGAUGCAGCCAUGCCGCGUGUAUGAAGAAGGCCUUCGGGUUGUAAAGUACUUUCAGCGGGGAGGAAGGCGGUGAGGUUAAUAACCUCGCCGAUUGACGUUACCCGCAGAAGAAGCACCGGCUAACUCCGUGCCAGCAGCCGCCGUAA
rnacentral:rRNA from 1 species